rnacentral:lncRNA from 1 species
CGCGCGCGUCUCCCUUGCUCCCCAGCGCUCACGCUCGCGCGCAGUUCCCUGUCGCCGGCUAGCCUUCAGCCGCCGACGUCUCGGCCCCUCAGAAAGCCGGUCGCACCAUGUCUUCGCCUCCCGAGGGAAAGCUAGAGACGAAAGCAGGACACCCGCCCGCCGUGAAAGCUGGUGGGAUGCGAAUUGUGCAGAAACAUCCGCACUCUGGAGAUGCCAAGGAAGAGAAGGACAAGGAUGACCAGGAGUGGGAAAGCCCCAGAAGCCCCAUGCCUCCAUAGACAAGCAUCCAUGCCCGAGAACCCAGCACAUCCAGCAGCCUCGCAAGUGAUCGGCGAGCACCCACCACCCACCCUAGCCUCGGUUCCCUGACACUUGGUAUUUCCCAACAAAGAGGACUGGCAUCUUCUUCAAAACACUUCCCCGUGGAGAAAUCCAAGACAAAGCAAAACUCCCCUUCCGUUGCCUUAAAUUUCCACAUCUAACACUAGAAUCAGACCCCAAACCUUGUUUGCAGGGAGUCCUGGCUGGUGUCACUUGAGGGUCCUUGGGCCUCUUACAAGUGCCAUUAGCAGAACUUACCGGACCUGAGUGAAAUGAGCUUGUUCAGAGUUUAGCUUUGUUCCCAUUCAUCGGCUGCCCUGUCAGUGGACUUAAAAACAAGCGGGCACAGAUUUUGGAGGGUUAGAGGAAGGUCAGGGGAAAGCUCAGUCAUUUCAUGCUUUUUGGUAAGAGGACCAUAACGUCUUAACACCUAGUGGACAGAGAAAGAGAUGAAGGCAUUGAUUACAGGAAGGCUGAGCAGGGGAGACUUUUGAAACAGGCAACAGCAUCGCUGUAUUUCCCUCCCUUGUGUGACAAGGGAUCACAGCACAGGAGACACCAAGCACUCACAGAAAGGCCACGGAAAAGCUCACAGCUUUGAAAUGGCUCUUCUUUCCCAGGAGUCAUCUUGCUGAAAAUUUUGCCCAAACCAGAUCUGUCAGUGCGGGUCCCAAGUCCGGCACAGCCCCACCAUCCAUAAUGGGUUUGUAGGAAAUCAAGGAAAACCUUCCUUCUUCAAGCAUCACCUCCAGAGCUGUCUUCAGGUUCUGGCCGUGAUCACUGACCAGGUGACACAUAGCUAGUCUUGGAACCCUAGAGCAAAAGCCGUUAACGUCCGUGGAAAGACCAGAUGAAAACCUGCCCUUUGCCUCCCUAGGGAAAAGCAGAACACCAUGUGCCAUUUGAGCUACAAAAGCCUGUUUGUCAACCAGUCAAAGUGUCCAGAUUCCCUCUGCCCAAGGGCCCCGUUGCCUGGGCCCAUGUUCACUUGCCAUCUCAAACCGUCUAGCACUUUCUGUCCACAUGUCCUGCCCAGAGCCACCCUAGACUGCCCACUGGCUCAUAGCUACCAUAUGCCUUGCUUUUCUGAAAAGCCAAAGGGCUCAUUUAUUUACUCAGAGGUUCAAAUCUCCCAGAGCAGAUGCUUUGAGAGAAGGUGCAGCCUGGCAGUCCCGCUUGCCGGAGUGGUGUUUGCUGCAGCUGGGCACACACACCACAGUCCUUGCGAUGCCUUCUCCAGGUCCACAGCCAUGACUGGUAAGAGUGCCAGAGGCCAGGAGACCCAGCUCUCAUCCUUCCCUAAGGGAAAAGCCAGCACUUCUUCACAUCCUAAAAGUAAUGUUUGGUUUCCCAUCUCAUUGAUGUGGGAGCCGGGGUCUUACCCUGCAAGCGCUGUAUAGUCACGUCUCCUAGUCCUUAAUUGCUAAGAUGCUGCCAUACUCUGGGGCUGGCUUGUGGAGAUGCAGGCUAGAUGGGCAGCCACCUCCUGGAGGCAGCAUCUCUGAAGGAUGCUGAGAGCAGACAGCACCAGGUCAGGUCUGUGGACCACUACACCCUCUGCUGCAGAAAUGAAGACACGUCCUCGAUGCUUUUUAGUGUUGCAGCCAGGAUCAACUCGCUACUCCCCAUGGUGCAUCUUUCACGUCCUUUUUGCUACAUCUGGCAUGGAGCUGUGUGUUGUAGAAUCACUGAACGCAAAAGGUUCUCCUGGAUGAGUUUAUCUGUAGUUAACUUUUAAGAAUAAUAAUGGUGAUAAUAAAGCUC